GAUGAACGCUGGCGGCGUGCCUAAUACAUGCAAGUCGAGCGAACAGACGAGGAGCUUGCUCCUCUGACGUUAGCGGCGGACGGGUGAGUAACACGUGGAUAACCUACCUAUAAGACUGGGAUAACUUCGGGAAACCGGAGCUAAUACCGGAUAAUAUAUUGAACCGCAUGGUUCAAUAGUGAAAGACGGUUUUGCUGUCACUUAUAGAUGGAUCCGCGCCGCAUUAGCUAGUUGGUAAGGUAACGGCUUACCAAGGCGACGAUGCGUAGCCGACCUGAGAGGGUGAUCGGCCACACUGGAACUGAGACACGGUCCAGACUCCUACGGGAGGCAGCAGAAGGGAAUCUUCCGCAAUGGGCGAAAGCCUGACGGAGCAACGCCGCGUGAGUGAUGAAGGUCUUCGGAUCGUAAAACUCUGUUAUUAGGGAAGAACAAAUGUGUAAGUAACUAUGCACGUCUUGACGGUACCUAAUCAGAAAGCCACGGCUAACUACGUG
rnacentral:rRNA from 1 species